AACCGUCAACAGGCUGACGAUUGGCUUUGGGAUACUAUUCCCAACACCAGCCAGGUCACUACUCCGAGCUUCUAUAAUAACAAAUCUCCAUCCGAGCUUCCAUGACAACCGAUCUUCAACCGAGCUUCUACAAUAAGCGACCUCCUUUCAGCCUUCUACAAGAACUGAACUCCGUCUGAACUUCUAUAGCGGAUAGAUUCCGGAUGAACUUCUACAACAGAUGGGCUCCAGCAGCUAGAUUUCUACAACGACCGACUGCCUCCAAUGUCUGUCGUACCUCCCCAGCCA
rnacentral:lncRNA from 1 species